ACGCCAUCUACCAGAAGAUGGAACGUGUUCCUCUCGACACUGCACUCCACCUGCCCAAAACAAACAUCACUAAAGACAUCAUUGGAGCUAGCAGGGGCACCGGCCCUGUGCCCUCAACAAAGAGGAUGAGACCCUUGGAGGACUUGGUUUUGACAUCCAGAGAGAAAAAAUUGAUGAGGAUAUUCUUGGGCCCGGUCAAAAUUCCACUCGGAUGUGUGCAAGGAAAAUGAACAGUAUGUAAGGGUCACUGUGAGCCACCCUGUCAGCAGCCCCGUGGCUUCAUGAUCACAACAGCAUGUGGUUCCUGUUCUCGGACCGGAGAGGAUUACUUUCGAAUGUGACAU